rnacentral:rRNA from 1 species
GUGGGGCGGUGGGCAGGGGGGUGCUUACCGUGCAGUCGAACGAUGAACCGGUUUCGGCCGGGGAUUAGUGGCGAACGGGUGAGUAACACGUGGGCAAUCUGCCCUGCACUCUGGGAUAAGCCCGGGAAACUGGGUCUAAUACCGGAUACGACACUCCGAGGCAUCUUGGGGUGUGGAAAGUUCCGGCGGGGCAGGAUGAGCCCGCGGCCUAUCAGCUUGUUGGUGGGGUAAUGGCCUACCAAGGCGACGACGGGUAGCCGGCCUGAGAGGGUGACCGGCCACACUGGGACUGAGACACGGCCCAGACUCCUACGGGAGGCAGCAGUGGGGAAUAUUGCACAAUGGGCGAAAGCCUGAUGCAGCGACGCCGCGUGAGGGAUGACGGCCUUCGGGUUGUAAACCUCUUUCAGCAGGGAAGAAGCGAAAGUGACGGUACCUGCAGAAGAAGCACCGGCUAACUACGUGCCAGCAGCCGCGGUAAUACGUAGGGUGCGAGCGUUGUCCGGAAUUAUUGGGCGUAAAGAGCUCGUAGGCGGUUUGUCGCGUCGAUUGUGAAAGCCCGGGGCUUAACCCUGGGUCUGCAGUCGAUACGGGCAGGGCUAGAGUUCGGCAGGGGAGACUGGAAAUUCGUGGGUGUAGCGGUGAAAUGCGCAGAUAUCAGGAGGGAACACCGGUGGGCGAAGGAGGGGUCUCUGGGCCCGAUACUGACGCUGAGGGAGCGAAAAGCGUGGGGAGCGAACAGGAUUAGAUACCCCUGGUAGUCCACGCCGUAAAACGGUGGGCACUAGGUGUGGGCAACAUUCCACGUUGUCCGUGCCGCAGCUAACGCAUUCAAGUGCCCCCGCCUGGGGAGUACGGCCGCAAGGCUAAAAACUCAAAGGAAUUGACGGGGGCCCGCACCAGCGGCGGAGCAUGUGGCUUAAUUCGACGCAACGCGAAGAACCUUACCAAGGCUUGACAUACAUCGGAAACGGCCAGAGAUGGUCGCCCCCUUGUGGUCGGUGUACAGGUGGUGCAUGGCUGUCGUCAGCUCGUGUCGUGAGAUGUUGGGUUAAGUCCCGCAACGAGCGCAACCCUUGUCCUGUGUUCCCAGCAACCUCUUCGGAGGGUUGGGGACUCACGGGAGACUGCCGGGGUCAACUCGGAGGAAGGUGGGGACGACGUCAAGUCAUCAUGCCCCUUAUGUCUUGGGCUGCACACGUGCUACAAUGGCCGGUACAAUGAGCUGCGAUGCCGUGAGGUGGAGCGAAUCUCAAAAAGCCGGUCUCAGUUCGGAUUGGGGUCUGCAACUCGACCCCAUGAAGUCGGAGUCGCUAGUAAUCGCAGAUCAGCAUUGCUGCGGGGAAUACGUCCCCGGGCCUUGUACACACCGCCCCUCACGUCAUGAAAGUCGGUAACACCCGAAGCCGGGUCCUAACCCCUUGUGGAGGAGCCGUCGAAGGGGCCCUAGGCCGGCCCCCA